UAGCGUAGGGUGCGAGCGUUAAUCGGAAUUACUGGGCGUAAAGCGUGCGCAGGCGGUUUUCCAAGACAGAUGUGAAAUCCCCGGGCUCAACCUGGGAAUGGCAUUUGUGACUGGAAGGCUAGAGUGUGUCAGGAGGGGGGUAGAAUUCCACGUGUAGCAGUGAAAUGCGUAGAGAUGUGGAGGAAUACCGAUGGCGAAGGCAGCCCCUGGCUACGG
rnacentral:rRNA from 1 species